rnacentral:antisense_RNA from 1 species
GCUCUGGAACCGGUCCACGAGUCUCUCUCUGUUACCCAGGUUGGAGUGUGGUGGUGUGAUCUUGGCUCCCUGCAACCUCCACCUCCCGGGUUCAAGCGAUUCUCCUUCCUCAGCCUCCCAAGUAGCUGGGAUUACAGGCACCUGCCACUAUGAAGAAUGGCAUUUUUAAAAGAUGGCUUUCUUAAAAAAGGAUACUAAGUUGCUCUUCUACUCAUACCAAGGUCAUGAAAUUGCCAAGAAUAAAACUGGCUUUGAACCAGCUAUCUUUGGAGCAAGAAGACCAAAGAAGGAACCAUCUGAUUGCUUGGAUAAAGUGUUGUUAAAAAAGGAGAGAGAGAAAACAGAACCAUCUGGCCAAGGACUUGCUGGCUUCUGAUGUCUGCCUGUUCUCUUGAGGCUAAGUCCUGCAGACACAUUCUGGGUCUGCACCUUAUGAGUGUUGCUCAUUCUGUAUCCUGCAGAAGACAUACAGAGCUGUUCACAUAGAAUAGGGCUAUGAUUUUGAUUCAGCAAUUCUUCAAACCACUGAUGCUGGUUGACCAUUUGACUUUGUUUUUGAAGUAUUUUUUACAUACAGUGUACAGAACAUUUCCCCUGGAUAUUUGGAUACUGAACAGGAGUAACAUGAGGAACAGCUCCUACCUCCCCUCUGCCUCUUCCCUCACAAGCCUGUGAGUCAGGGCAGGGGCAGCCACUGAAAGUAGCAGAGGCCUUCAUAAAGGAGAACACUUCUCCUUGUUGCCAUCCUGUGAAGAAGGACAUAUUUGCUUCUCCUUCUGCCACGAGUGUUGAAGGCAAUGGUGAUGAAAGUAAAUAUUUAAAAACAGUACCAUAGCUGUCCCAAAUUUAAGAAAAACAAGGUACCACUGGAAACAUUAAAUUUCAUUAGAACACAGAAGAAUGACCAUUUUGUGAUCAGUUUUCUGCAUCUUUAAAAUGCCUGGAAGGUCAUCUUUAAAUGGUACAAUCUGAUAAAAGUUUAAUACUUAUUGUAGACUUAUAUGAAUACUUCUACAUUCAUACAUUUUUGUAUACUUAUACAUUUUCAUAUUCAAUGAAUGCUUAAUUCAAAAAAUAUUUGAGUAUCUGCAGUGUUCCCCAUGCUACAUACUGAGCUUAAACGGUCAAAAAGACACAGUCUUUGACCUCAAAAUACUUUGAUUCUUGUAAGAAAAACGGACAAAGACAAAGAUAAGGCAAUGUGAAAACUUCUACAGUUGGAAUAAUCUUGGAGGUUAUAGGAUGUGGACUCACUGAAAGCUUUCUGCUGGACUUGAACUUGAAGCUGCAGUCUGAAGGACAGACGGGUGUUGCUUAGAGAAGGGAAAUUAGGAAGCAAAGACCCCUGGACAGAGUGUAGCAGGCACAGAGGGAGCAUGACACCUCCGGGAGAGAGCCGCAAGCACCUAGGCCCAGAUCCCAGCUUUAGCUUCAUUAGCCCUGUGAACUCUGUAUGUCAGCCUUGACAUAGAAAAAAAGAGGAUACUAAACCUCCAUCUUAAAAGAGACUUGGAAGAAGCUGGGAUUAUAGGCACACCACCACACCUGGACCUAGAAAAGGGAACCCUUGACCUGCAAGAAUUGAGGAAUAUUGUUUCUGACAUGCUCAGUGGACCUACUGCUGGUGUUCUUAACCAUUUCCUUCCUAAGUGGAACUUCUUUUGAGCCUCAGAUGAAAACAACCAGUUGAGCUCCAAGUUUUCUUUCUGUGGGAGAACUUUCCUUAAAAGACAAUUAGAAAGCAAGGAAUGCGAAGAAAGAAAAUGGGAAGUUUCCUGCCUCCAAAUUAUGCUGUUGGUUCUGGCCUAAAGGAAUGUUUCAAGGGAAGCCUGUCUGCCUUUCAUUGCCAUUUCACCUUGAUUUAAUCAUUCAGCAAAGCAUUUAUUAAUCAUCUUCUGUGCGAAAAGUACUUACCUUAGAACCAUUGCAUCCUGGUACACCGACAAGUCCAUAAGGCCCAGUAUUGCCUGGGGUGCCCUGGAAGAAGAACAAGUCUCAAUGAGGAGGGUCAUCCCAAGAAAGAGCACUGAAUCCAAGGGAAAAGAUGGACUGAUUUAAAUAGCUCUUGAAAUAUAAAUGAUCGUUUAAAUGGUUAAGUAGUAAAUGUACAUUGUGGUUUUACAUAUAAUUUCAGUAGCAACAAACUAAACAGGCUGACUGAUAUGAAGACUUAUCAAAUGAGAUGUGGAUAUUUCAAAUAAAGCAAAUGCCUUUUAUCCAU